UCCUCCUUAGCUCAGUGGUAGAGCGCGUCACUAGUAUAUGGGCCCCCAUUCAUCAAUUAGGAAAUGACGAGGUCAGUCGUUCAAGUCGGCUAGGAGGAA